rnacentral:rRNA from 1 species
AUUGAACGCUGGCGGCAGGCUUAACACAUGCAAGUCGAACGAGUGGCGGACGGGUGAGUAAUGUCUGGGAAACUGCCUGAUGGAGGGGGAUAACUACUGGAAACGGUAGCUAAUACCGCAUACCAUCGGAUGUGCCCAGAUGGGAUUAGCUAGUGGGUGGGGUAACGGCUAACCUAGGCGACGAUCCCUAGCUGGUCUGAGAGGAUGACCGCCCAAACUGGAACUAGGACACGGUCCAGACCCCAACGGAAGGCAGCAGGGGGGAAUAUUGCCCAAUGGGGGCAAGCCUAAUGCAGCCAUGCCGCGUAUAUGAAGAGGGCCUUCGGGUUGUAAGGUACUUUCAGCGGGGAGACGUUACCCGCAAAAGAAGCACCGGCUAACAAAGUGCGAGCAGCCGCGUAAUUC